GACGAACGCUGGCGGCGUGCUUAACACAUGCAAGUCGAGCGAUGAAGUUCUUUCGGGAAUGGAUUAGCGGAGGACGGGUGAGUAACACGUGGGUAACCUGCCUCAUAGAGGGGAAUAGCCUUCCGAAAGGAAGAUUAAUACCGCAUAAGAUUGUAGUUUCGCAUGAAACAGCAAUUAAAGGAGCAAUCCGCUAUGAGAUGGACCCGCGUCGCAUUAGCUAGUUGGUGAGGUAAAGGCUCACCAAGGCGACGAUGCGUAGCCGACCUGAGAGGGUGAUCGGCCACAUUGGGACUGAGACACGGCCCAGACUCCUACGGGAGGCAGCAGUGGGGAAUAUUGCACAAUGGGGGAAACCCUGAUGCAGCAACGCCGCGUGAGUGAUGACGGUCUUCGGAUUGUAAAACUCUGUCUUCAGGGACGAUAAUGACGGUACCUGAGGAGGAAGCCACGGCUAACUACGUGCCAGCAGCCGCCGUAA
rnacentral:rRNA from 1 species